rnacentral:rRNA from 1 species
GACGAACGCUGGCGGCGUGCUUAACACAUGCAAUUCGAACGGAAAUGCCCUGCUUUUGUGGGUUUCUCGAUUUGCUAACGUGUGAUUAACACGUUAUUAACCUGCCCUUUACUUUUGGAUAACUUCAGGAAACUUGGGCUAAUACCGGAUAGGAGCUCCUGCUGCAUGGUGGGGGUUGGAAAGUUUCGGCGGUUGGGGAUGGACUCGCGGCUUAUCAGCUUGUUGGUGGGGUAGUGGCUUACCAAGGCUUUGACGGGUAGCAGGACUGAGAGGGUGACCGGCGACAUUGGGACUGAGAUACGGACCAGACUCCUACGGGAGGCAGCAGUGGGGAAUAUUGCACAAUGGGCGGAAGCCUGAUGCAGCAACGCCGCGUGCGGGAUGACGGCCUAAGGGUUGUAAACCGCUUUCGCCUGUGACGAAGCGUGAGUGACGGUAAUGGGUAAAGAAGCACCGGCUAACUACGUG